UGGGGAAUAUUGGACAAUGGGCGAAAGCCUGAUCCAGCCAUGCCGCGUGUGUGAAGAAGGUCUUCGGAUUGUAAAGCACUUUAAGUUGGGAGGAAGGGCAGUAAGCGAAUACCUUGCUGUUUUGACGUUACCGACAGAAUAAGCACCGGCUAACUCUGUGCCAGCAGCCGCGGUAAUACAGAGGGUGCAAGCGUUAAUCGGAAUUACUGGGCGUAAAGCGCGCGUAGGUGGUUCGUUAAGUUGAAUGUGAAAGCCCCGGGCUCAACCUGGGAACUGCAUCCAAACCUGGCGAGCUAGAGUAGGGCAGAGGGUGGUGGAAUUUCCUGUGUAGCGGAGAAAUGCAUAGAUAUAGGAAGGAACACCAGUGGCGAAGGCGACCGCCUGGGCUCAUACUGACACUGAGGUGCGAAAGAGUGGGGAGCAAACAGG
rnacentral:rRNA from 1 species